rnacentral:lncRNA from 1 species
UUUACUUAUUUAUUUAUUUAUUGAGACAGAGUCUCACUCUGUCGCCCAGGCUGGAGUGCAGUGGCGCAGUGUUGGCUCACUGCAACCUCUGCCUCCCGGGUUCAAGCGAUUCUCCUGCCUCAGUCUCCCGAGUAGCUGGGAUUACAGGCGCCUGCUACCACACGCAGCUGAUUUUUGUAUUUUAAGUAGAGCUGGGGUUUCAUCAUGUUGGUCAGGCUGGUCUCAAACUCCUGACCUCGUGAUCCGCCCGCCUCAGCCUCCUAAAGUGCUGGGAUUACAGGCGUGAGCCACCUUGUCCGGCCCUGAAGCUUAUAGUUUUUAAUAUUCUAUAAUUCCUGAAGUUUUCAUAGUCUGCCUCUUUGCUUCUUAUUUUUCAGAAAACAAGUUGGUAACUGAGGGGAAAAGCACCACGAUCUCCUGGUGCGUUGUUGCAAAAGUGCUUCAGCAGUCAGUGUCUUUCUUGUUGUUUGCCAGAUAAAGAUAUUUUGUCUGCAUAUCUGCAUAGCUUAACAGUAACUCAGGUGCUGACGUAGAAGGAAAGCAUGUGAGAAUGCUUUUGGAUCAUACACUUUUCACAUAAUAAGAAAUUUUUCUCGAAUUGGUUUAACAGUAUCGUUUUAUGCUUUUUAAAAUGUAUCUUUGAUAUGAGUUGUUUGUCAUUUGCACAAGUUAAUGAUUUUACCUCCCCAGCUGCAACAUAUUUUUCAAAUUUAGGAACCCAACUUAACCAUCUGAACAUCCUUCUUAAAAAAAAUAAAGAAGAAAGCUCACAACUA